rnacentral:lncRNA from 13 species
CGCCCUCCCGGGGUCUCCAUUGCCAGCGUGUCAAGAUCAGAUAGCAAUUGGGAAGCCCAACAGCUCUGCAGUGAGUGAGACAGAGCUGACUUGAGUCCUGAGGUCAUGCUUACCAGCUCUGCGACCUUGGCAUGUCCUAAAGGGCUGUCCCCUCUGAACCGUGGAACCAGAGUGAGGUCAUUGGGUGUGCUGCUGAAACAGGGUGGUUAUAAGGAUGAAAGAAGAUAAUGCAGUCAGAGCACCGAGAGUAAUGCCCUGGUAGAUGACACAAGGUGACUGGAGGCCUCCGGGAGAGUCUGUGGAGAAGGCACCGAGAAAGGCCGGCCACUGGGGGGUGUGGCGUGCCCAGGAAAUCUCUGCCCAGCUCAGCUUGGAGGUGGACCCUCUACAGACCCGCGUCUCUGCCGAGGAGUUGUUGCCCAUGGUGCCUGCAGGCUUUGGUGCUCCAGUGGAGAGGGCAUGCUGGGACACAGCCAAUGUCCUGGCCACCAGACCCUGAGGUAGGCUGUGACCUCUGUUGGUCAGGUGGAAUGAGGGCUGGGUGAAACAGUGGCCUUGGUUUUGGGACACCCUCUAGGGACCCUUUACAGUGAUCCCCUAGAGCCAACAAAUGAAAAAGCGCUGCUGGAUGCUGACCUAUGAUCUGGACAGACUCAAAGCUUUGAACAUCAGGGCUUCUGAGCCCCUUGCCUCUGCUUGGCCAUGCUCCUCAAAGCCCCCUUAUGCUGCACUGAGGCAGGAUGGGGAACUCCCAAGACAGAGAGUCCUUGGGCUACUCACUUCUUCUCCUGCCUUCCUUUGUCUGAACCUCAGUUUUCUCCUCUGAGGAAUGGGCAGAACCAGCUCUGGGCAGCCUGUGUGGUUGGCAUGAGGGUUAGCAAAAGCAGGGAGUGAGACACUCCUGGCACAGCGCAGGCCUUCUCAAGUGUAAAGGGGCAGAUGGCGGGAGGGAAAGAGUUGGUUCUACUGGUUACUCCACGGGGAUUCCUGCCCUCUGUCCCGGUGGCGGGGGAGGUGGCAUUCCCUGAGCGCAGGCCCCCAGCAGCUGCAACAGGUGCCCCUUUUGGCAGUAAAAGCAGGCCUGGGCCUUCCUGAUGCCAGCCUGUGAGCGCUGCUGGGAGAGGCCCCGAGAGGCUGAGGCUGGUUCAGCAGGCAGCUCUGCGGGGAGGCAGUGGCCUGGGUGGAUUCACUGUGACAGGCUGUUGACAGUGCAGCUUCCAGGGUUGCUCACGGUCACUGGUGGAGCAGCUCCAGCUGCUGCCUCUGAGUGAGGAGAAGAGAGAGGUGGUGGACGGCCGCCAUCCAGGCGGGCAUGCCACACAGCCUCUGCCCACACGGUCUCAGAGCUGCUUGCUGGAGGGCAGAGAGCCCAAGCCAUGGCACUCAUGGCUGCCAACCUCCAAAGCCAUUUAGACUCAGAGCCCUCCAUCAAAUAAGAAAGAGGCCACACCGGGACCUUCCUUUCUUCCUUCUUUCAGUUUGUAGUUUUGUGUACCUACUACGUGCUAGGGGGUGCUAGGAACACGGUGGGAGUGAAAUAGACACGGCCCUGCCCUUAUGGAGUGUACAGUGAAAUGCAUGUUAGACAGAUAACACAGACAAGUAUUAAGCACGCCCAUGCCAACUGUUAGGAAGGAAAAUGGCAGAGUGCUGACUGGAUAGUGCUCUGGGGGCUCAGCCAGGCAUGACCUGGAGGAUACAUCUUGGUUGGGUGCCCUGCAAGUGGAACCUGAGGUGGGGAUCUCUUGGGGUGGCAAUUGGAAAGGACCUGCAAGGCAGGGAGAGAAGCAGGAUGGGGCGGCAGGGAGAAGCAGAGAAGGAGGUGGUCUCGGCUUGCGCUCCAUCCCACAGUGGUGGCAGGGCAAGGGGGGAUGGGGAAUUUCAACUGUCCGAGGAACAGUUCCACCUCUCGGGGAGGUGACCGGCCUUUUGUCACCCAUCUUGGGCAGUGAGAUCUGCCUGACUGUCACCUGUUGCAGAGGUGACUCUAGUUUGUCCCAAGGCAAUUCUCUGAGGGGGUGUGUGGCUGCCUUCCCUGAAUGGACAACACUCCCAGCUGCUGGUGUUGCCCCUCCAGUGGGAUACCCCUUCAGGAGAGGUGAGCCAAGGGGCAUCAGCUGCACCCACUAAACUGCCAGACAGGUCAGAAUGCACAAGGGCAAGGGAAAGUUGGCUGCAGAGAGGGAGAAGACCAGGUUUGGAGCAAGAGAGAUAGUGGGGACUGUGUCUGGAAGAAAGGCUGGGCUUGGCAGAGACUUUCAAGGCAUGGCAGAGAUGCUUGAUUUUAUUUGGGAUGCCCGUGAAGGCAGUGGAAGUGCCUUCCACUUCCAAGUGCCUUCCUGGCGCAUGGCCAGAUUGGCAAUUUAAGAAGAGCACUUUGGCUUCUGAAUGGAGGAAGAAUUGGAGUGGGUUUGGGAGACCAGGCAGAGAGACCAGCUUAGAAGCAAUGUGGUCUUCAAAGGGGAGAUGGGGGUGGCUUAGCCUAGCAUGGGGGAUGUGGGGGUGGUGCAAUGGGAUAAUUUGAGUUAUUUAGGAGGAAGAACUUAGUAGGAGUUAGGGAUGCCCAUGAAAAACCCAAGAGGAGAAGCCAAGUAGGAAGGUGAAUGCAUAUGUCUGGAGCUUGGCAUGGAGGUAAGAUCUGAAAAUAGAUUUUGGGCAUAGAGAUGUCUUUGGAAACUUAGGAGUGAAUGAAAGCACCCAGGAGGAGACAGUAGAGUGAUCAGAGAAGCGGAGCCUUGAAGAUCUUCAGUAAAUAUCUAACAGAUGAAUAAAGGAUGAGGAAGCAGCA